AUACUUAGCGGGCAGGGGAGAUGCCAUGAUCAGGAAGGCAGUUUUCCCAGGCCGAGGCUCACCCAUUGCAUUCUGGAUGUGCUGACCCCUGCGAUCUCCCCAAAUGUGGGAAACUCAAUGCAGAAUUUGUGGUAGUGGGGGACUGAAUUCACUCUCUCCCUGG